UGCAUUUAUCGAGUUAGUUCCCUGUUUACAUAUUAGUCAUUUUUGUGCCGCCUCAAGACUAGCAGAUAAAGCAAUAAAUAUCGAAGGUGGCUUAUGACAAUCACACACUAUCAUAAACUGAAACAAAAGUCACCUGUCAAUGAAACUCCGCCCAAUUCGUCAUCUGCGUAGAUGCCACCUCCUAUGGAACAUGCUUCGUUGAAUUUUCCUGUCGAUUUUCCGUUCCAGCCCCCCGAGGAAGCCCCUACAGCUAUAUUUCCUUUACGAUCGAUAGCAAUAGCUCCCACUGACUCAGUCCUAGGCCAUAUGUCUCUCU